rfam:Bacillus sp. 2_A_57_CT2 genomic scaffold supercont1.16, whole genome shotgun sequence.
GGUAUUAUUAUUAAAACCACGAUAAGCCCCGGAACUUAUUGUGUCGAAUAGAUAAACCAAAAAAAUAGAUU